ensembl:lncRNA
ACUAAUUCAAAUCUAUUUGUUCUGCUUUUGACUCUGCACCAUCCUCUACCCUCAUCACAGCUCCAUUAUAUAAUCCAUGAUGUUUAUAUUAAUCACCACAUAUCCUCUACCCUCCUCCAUUAUAUAAUCCAUGAUGUUUAUAUCCUCCAUUAUAUAAUCCAUGAUGUUUAUAUUAAUCACUACAUAUCCUCUACCCUCUAUUAUAUAAUCCAUGAUGUUGAUAUUAAUCACUACAUAUCCUCUACCCUCCUCCAUUAUAUAAUCCAUGAUGUUUAUAUCCUCCAUUAUAUAAUCCAUGACGUUUAUAUCCUCCAUUAUAUAAUCCAUGAUGUUUAUAUUAAUCACUACAUAUCCUCUACCCUCCUCCAUUAUAUAAUCCAUGAUGUUUAUAUUAAUCACCAGAUAUCCUCUACCCUCCUCCAUUAUAUAAUCCAUGAUGUUUAUAUCCUCCAUUAUAUAAUCCAUGAUGUUUAUAUUAAUCACCACAUAUCCUCUACCCUCCUCCAUUAUAUAAUCCAUGAUGUUUAUAUUAAUCACCACAUAUCCUCUACCCUCCUCCAUUAUAUAAUCCAUGAUGUUUAUAUUAAUCACCACAUAUCCUCUACCCUCCUCCAUUAUAUAAUCCAUGAUGUUUAUAUUAAUCACCACAUAUCCUCUACCCUCCUCCAUUAUAUAAUCCAUGAUGUUUAUAUUAAUCACCACAUAUCCUCUACCCUCCUCCAUUAUAUAAUCCAUGAUGUUUAUAUUAAUCACCACAUAUCCUCUACCCUCCUCCAUUAUAUAAUCCAUGAUGUUCAUAUUAAUCACUACAUAUCCUCUACCCUCCUCCAUUAUAUAAUCCAUGAUGUUUAUAUCCUCCAUUAUAUAAUCCAUGAUGUUCAUAUUAAUCACUACAUAUCCUCUACCCUCCUCCAUUAUAUAAUCCAUGAUGUUUAUAUCCUCCAUUAUAUAGUCCAUGAUGUUUAUAUUAAUCACCACAUAUCCUCUACCCUCCUCCAUUAUAUAAUCCAUGAUGUUUAUAUUAAUCACCACAUAUCCUCUACCCUCCUCCAUUAUAUAAUCCAUGAUGUUUAUAUCCUCCAUUAUAUAAUCCAUGAUGUUUAUAUUAAUCACCACAUAUCCUCUACCCUCCUCCAUUAUAUAAUCCAUGAUGUUUAUAUUAAUCACCACAUAUCCUCUACCCUCCUCCAUUAUAUAAUCCAUGAUGUUUAUAUUAAUCACCACAUAUCCUCUACCCUCCUCCAUUAUAUAAUCCAUGAUGUUUAUAUUAAUCACUACAUAUCCUCUACCCUCCUCCAUUAUAUAAUCCAUGACGUUAAUAUGAAUCCCCACAGAGGUCCCCCGCUCAGAGCAGGUCUACGAAGCGGCUGUGGAAGCCUUUAUUGUGCACUCCUUUUGACCGGAGCCCAUUUGUCCUUUGUCAAAAGUGGUGCACUAUAA